rnacentral:tRNA from 1 species
GGGCGUUUAGCUCAGUGGUAGAGCGUCGCAUUCACAUUGCGAAGGCCGCUGGUUCAAUCCCAGCAACGCCCA